rnacentral:rRNA from 1 species
AUUGAACGCUGGCGGCAUGCCUUACACAUGCAAGUCGAACGGUAACGCGGGGCAACCUGGCGACGAGUGGCGAACGGGUGAGUAAUACAUCGGAACGUGCCCAGUAGUGGGGGAUAGCCCGGCGAAAGCCGGAUUAAUACCGCAUACGACCUACGGGUGAAAGCGGGGGAUCGCAAGACCUCGCGCUAUUGGAGCGGCCGAUGUCAGAUUAGGUAGUUGGUGGGGUAAAAGCCUACCAAGCCGACGAUCUGUAGCUGGUCUGAGAGGACGACCGGCCACACGGGGACGGAGACACGGCCCACACUCCUACGGGAGGCAGCAGUGGGGAAUGUUGGACAAUGGGCGCAAGCCUGAUCCAGCCAUGCCGCGUGCGGGAAGAAGGCCUUCGGGUUGUAAACCGCUUUUGUCAGGGAAGAAAUCCUUUGAGCUAAUACCUCGGGGGGGAUGACGGUACCUGAAGAAUAAGCACCGGCUAACUACGUGCCAGCCGCCGCCGUAACAC